rnacentral:rRNA from 1 species
UACAGGGGGGGCGAGCGUUGUUCGGAAUUACUGGGCGUAAAGGGUUUGUAGGUGGCUUGUUAAGUCAGACGUGAAAUCCCUCAGCUUAACUGGGGAACUGCGUCUGAUACUGGCGAGCUUGAGUGCAGGAGAGGAACGCGGAAUUCCAGGUGUAGCGGUGAAAUGCGUAGAUAUCUGGAGGAACACCGGUGGCGAAGGCGGCGUUCUGGACUGCAACUGACACUGAAAAACGAAAGCCAGGGGAGCAAACGGG